GAGGAAGUUCGUGCCAGACCUGUGAUCCCGGGGCCGCCGGUUGGGUGGGGGCUCUGGUUGUGAGAGGCCCAGGCCCGCAGCAGAGGGCAGUGCCUUCGGAAGACCCCUUCUGGUGGGACCCACACCGAGGGCUGUGCGCCUCUACUUCCCGGCGGGCAAAACCGGCAUGGCCCUGACCUCAGGGUUCGCCUGGACUUAAGAGAAGAGCGGCCACUGUGGCUGCUCCGGCUCCCCUGGCCCCAUUGGGUCCCCUGGCCCUGGGCUGUCUCCUCUCCAAGGGCUGGCCCUGGUGAGGGAGCAAAGGGUCUGGAGGGAAAUCUAUCGCUGGCCUCCUCCCUCGAUUGCCCUGUGGCCUGGGGCAGCUUCCUGGUCCUCAGUUUCCCCAUCUGUGGCCAGGUGAAGAGGGCCCGAGCGGGUGAUGCGUGUAAGAGCUGUUAAUGAUGGUGCUCCUGAGGCUGGACUGCUGGCUUCCUUGUCCGUCUUAUCUGCCCCCCACCCAGAGCUCCCCAGCCGCUCACCUCCCAGGGCCGUUCUGGGGCACAGGCUGUCUGCUGGUAACCUUGGAAGGCAGGGCAGGCAGGCAGGGGGCAGCCUGGGGCGGGGCAAACAAAUCCAGGAUGUGAGAGCAACCCGGAGCCGGAGCCGGGAGGGGCGCCGUGGCCACCACCAGCGGGAGAGGAAGCCUGGCAGCCUCCCGCUGCCUUCCUUCGGGCUCCCAGGCGCUGUCCCGCCCCUUGGUGCCGGCCUGGGGAAGGAACGGCAGGCGAACUGAUGGUAUUCGCUGAAUCACUGGACAGGAGCUAGGCCCUGCAGCAGUGAGCAAUCCAGGAAGCCAUCCCGGAGGAGGUGAGGGGACAGGAACAGCAAGAGCAAGCACAUGGCAGUGGGAAAUGGGAGCAGGCCCUGUGGAUGGGUGGGGGCCAUCGAAAGGACUCUGGGGACUGGGGUGCAGCACUUGCCUAGCAUGUGCAAGGCCCUGGGUCCUAUCCCCAGCCCUCCAAAAAAGAAAAAAGACAGAGAGCUCUGAAACCAACAGGGCUUCCUCAGGG
rnacentral:lncRNA from 1 species